GACGUAGGGCGCGAGCGUUGUCCGGAUUUAUUGGGCGUAAAGAGCUCGUAGGCGGCUUGUCGCGUCGACCGUGAAAACUUGGGGCUUAACCCCAAGCCUGCUUCCGAUACGGGCGGACUAGAGGUAGGCAGGGGGAGAACGGAAUUCCUGGUGUAGCGGUGAAAUGCGCAGAUAUCAGGAGGAACACCGGUGGCGAAGGCGGUUCUCUGGGCCUUACCUGACGCUGAGGAGCGAAAGCGUGGGGAGCAAACAGG
rnacentral:rRNA from 1 species